rnacentral:lncRNA from 10 species
UGGAGGAGAGAGGUGCCACUGAAUCAACCCCUAGUGACCAGGAAUGCUGCUAAACAUCCUCCAACACACAGGACGGCCCUCACAACAAAGAAAUAUCUGGUUCAACAUGUCAAUAGUGCCAUGCAUGGGUGAGAAAAACAGGCUGAGGAAACUGAGGAUCGGGCACAUUAAAGCACUUCCCCACUGUCACUCAGCCAGUUACAGGCAGAGCCAAGAUUUGAACAAAGUGUGUCUAACUCAUGUUCUCCCCAGAAUGCCAACAUGCCUAUUUGUGUAUUGAAAGUCAAUGUAAGAAUUUCUCUGACUACUGCAGGCCCAUCUUUUAUGAGGCUCCCAAGAGAAGUUUCAUACAAUGGAUCAAGAAUCAGAAUAAAGUCAGACUUCUCAAGUGCCACACUGGAAGCUGAAGGUCAGGGCACAAUGACUUGAAAACCAUUUCCUAGAUUUUAUUAUUUCCAAGAAUUAUUUGCUACAAUUCCAUAAUAGCCAA